UACGUAGGGGGCAAGCGUUGUCCGGAUUUAUUGGGCGUAAAGAGCGUGUAGGCGGCCAGGUAGGUCCGUUGUGAAAACUCGAGGCUCAACCUCGAGACGUCGGUGGAAACUGCCUCGCUAGAGUCCGGAAGAGGAGAGUGGAAUUCCUGGUGUAGCGGUGAAAUGCGCAGAUAUCAGGAAGAACACCCGUGGCUAAGGCGGCUCUCUAGUACGGUACUGACGCUGAGACGCGAAAGCGUGGGGAGCGAACAGG
rnacentral:rRNA from 1 species